GCUUGACUGUAUCCUGGAAUUGGGUUUCGGUUUUUCUUGCGCAGUCUAGGUGGGAGGCUAUGAAGAUUUCCUUCCGGGGAAUUGGAGCCAUCAGUGAGAGACCACUCUGGAGAAGCUAGAAUCUAAUGGUGUCCUUGAAUCAGGACAGCUUGACAGUUUCAGGUGGGCAGUUUUUUCUGGGGCGGAAACCUCAUAAAGGUAACUGAGGCGCGCAAAGGUUCCCUCAGUCUGGAUGGAAAUCAGACAAUGAGUGUAAAGGCAAAAGGGAGCUUGACUGCAAGACCACAAGUCGAGCAGGAGCGAAAGCUGGCCUUAGUGAUCCGACGGUGGCCGUGUGGGAAGGGCCGUCGCUCCAACGAGAUAAAAGUUA
rnacentral:rRNA from 1 species